AACGAACGCUGGCGGCAUGCCUAACACAUGCAAGUCGAACGAGACCUUCUGGUCUAGUUGCGCACGUGUGCGUAACGCGGUGGAACAUGGCUGUAGGUUCGGAAUAACUUAUAGAAAUUUGAUGUAAUACCGGAUGAUGUCCUCGGACUAAUGAUUUAUCGCCUUUCGAUGGGCUCGCGUUGGUUUAGCUAGUUGGUGUGGUAAAGGCCUACCAAGGCGACGAUCCAUAGCUGGUCAGAGAGGAUGAUCAGCCACACUGGGACUGAGACACGGCCCAGACUCCUACGGGAGGAAGCAGUGGGGAAUAUUGGACAAUGGGCGACAGCCUGAUCCAGCAAGGCCGCGUGAGUGAUGAAGGUCUUAGGGUUGUAAAGCUCUUUUACCCGAGAUGAUAGUGACAGUAUCGGGAGAAUAAGCUCCGGCUAACUCCGUG
rnacentral:rRNA from 1 species